rnacentral:rRNA from 1 species
AUGGAACCCUAUGUUGGCAUGAGGUUUGACAGCCUUCAAAUUGCUAAGGAUCACUACAACAGUUACGCACUACGGAUGGGUUUCUCUAUCAAGAUGAACACCUCUAGACGGACACCCCGCACCAAUGAAUUGAUAAAACAACAGUUUUGCUGCAACAAGUUCAAGAAGCCCAAAGCUGAUGAUGGAGGAGCUGAGGCUCCUCCUUACCUGGACCCUAUUCCAGAUCCAACAUCUGUUAAUAGUGAUGAGGAGAUGGAAGAAGAACCUCCAAUAUUUGCUGAAGAGGAUGUUGGUACUAGUAAGAAGAAGAAGAAGCGCAAACGUGAGACAAUAAAGCAGACUGAAUGCAAGGCGAAAAUGUUGGUGAAGCUGAUAGAUGGGCGAUGGGAGGUGACGCACUUUGUUCGUGACCACAAUCAUCCGCUCGUGAACAAACCUUCAUUGUCCAAAUACUUGAGAUCCCACCAAGGCAUCUCACCUGAUGAAAAGGAGUUUCUGCGCAUCUUGUAUAACUGCAACUUGACUACAGGCGACUACAAUCCAAGUACCAUGACAUGCCGUGCUACUGCAGGUGAUCGUGACGGUCCUACUGCCCCGUUGGAGGCUGCAUCCCUUGCACAAGCUUCUGAUGAUUUUGUGCCCAGGGAUCCUCCAAGGUCUACUACAAAGGGUAGGGCAAAGAGUCGACGGUACAAAUCGGCGCUGGAGCUACACCCAAAGAAGAAAAAUAAAUGCAGCCAGUGCCAAUCUACAGAGCACACUGCUGGUGUGUGUCCACAGAGGCUCCUAUGA